UAUAAACACUAGGGGUGCUGCCGUAGCAGCUGAGACGAGUUUUAUCAACUUGAUCCCUUUGAACCUGUAAGCCAACACUUGCGUAGGGAAUGUGUCAACUCGACUGA
rnacentral:ncRNA from 2 species